GGAAGCGAAAAAGAAAAGAAAUUGGCGGAUAAACAAACCAACAAACAUGGAGAAGGAGAGCAGCGAGAACUUUAGCGGGCAGGACUAAAAGAAAAUGUCCAUGCUGUCAAAAUGAGCAGACCACUGAAGUUUCUAGAAAACGCCAUCGCUCUCCUGACUCUGCCAGUCCUGCCCAGAAGAGGAGGCGUUCAAAGGCAGCCAGUCCCUACCAACCUCUGGUUGCCAUCUCAGCUCCUGCCCAAUGCACCACUGAGGCUGAAAGGCUGCUUGCUAAGCCUCGGGCUACCAUCGACCCAGCAGACCUCCCAGCAGUCUCUCCUCUGCCAAUCCUGAACCAGUCCUCCACUGCUGCUGUGCAGGACAAUCAGCCUGUGAUGAUUCACAAUCACACAGUAGAAGAGUACCAGGAGAUUUAUCAGGAAGUGGUCGAUGACAUGCUGAGGUACAAAAGUGGUCAAAGACGUCCUUACAGUCUCAACCUAGGCCGUGUUAUAAAGCAAAAGCUCUGGGAGAGGAUGAAGAAGCCUUCAAUUACAAUGUCAGCUAGCCAAAAUGCCCUGAUUAAUGUAGAGAUCACCUACGGCAGCAGGGAAAAUCCUCCUCUUUACAUCUUGGAUUAAUUAAAAUAAAAGUUCCAAGACAGACAAUGAGAAAAACACUGAAAAACAAAACAACAACUUUGUAAAUAGUUCUUUAAGAGUUCAGGCUAAUUCUUCAUAACUUAAAUCAAACCUAUCUGGAUCGAAAAAAACAGAGUCAAAACAACCUGAUGAGUUGACCUCCACCUCAAGCCUCCAUCUGCAGUGUUUAAACCAGCCUGCAAAACCUCCACCUCAACCUCCGUUUGCAGACAAUAAACCAGCCUGCAAAACCUCCACCUCAACCUCCAUCUGCAGAGAUAAAACCAGCCUGCAAAACCCCCACCUCAAUCUCCGUCUGCAGACAAUAAACCAGCCUGCAAAACCCCCACCUCAAUCUCCGUCUGCAGACGAUAAAACCAGCCUGCAAAACCUCCACCUCAACCUCCAUGUGCAGUUUAAACCAGCCUGCAAAACUUCCACAUCACUCUCUAUCUGCAGAGAUUAAACCAGCCUGCAAAACCUCCACCUCAACCUCCUUUUGCAGAGCUUAAACCAGCCUGCAAAACCUCAACCUUACGCUCCAUAUGCAGAGAUUAAACCUGCCUGCAAAACCUCCACCUCAACCUCCAUCUGCAGUGCUUAAACAAGCCUGCAAAACCUCUAGCUUACUCUCCAUAUAUAUAUAUAUAUAUAGAUUAAACCAGCCUGCAAAACCUACACCUUAAUCUCCAUCUGCAAAAGGUAAACCAGCCUGGAGAACCUCUACAUCACUCUCCAUCUGCAGAGAUUAAACCAGCUUUCAAAGCCGCCACCUCAACCUCCAUCUGAAGGGAUUCAACCAGCCUGCAAGACCUCCACCUCAACCUCGAUCUGAACAGUUAAAGUAGCCUGCAAGACCUCGACCUCAACUUCCAUCGUUAGAGUUUAAACCAGCCUGCAAAACCUCCACCUCAACCUUCAUCUGCAGAGAUUAAACCUGCCUCCAAAACCUCCACCCUAAUCUUCAUCUCUGGAGUUCAAAUCUACCUGCAAAACCUCCACCACAGUCUCCAUUAUGGGGUUUCCCAGGCUGGUUACCGGAGCACAGAGUGUGACGAUAUGAUCCUCUCAUGCCGACUAUAUGUUCAACUUUGGAGCACCAAGAUGACGCACUGGGAAGCUACGGAGCAAAGCCAGAGAGCAGCGAGAACUUGAGCGGGCAGGACUAAAAGAAAAUGUCCAUGCUGUCAAAAUGAGCAGACCACUAAAGUUUCUAGAAAACGCCAUCGCUCUCCUGACUCUGCCAGUCCUGCCCAGAAGAGGAGGCGUUCAAAGGCAGCCAGUCCCUACCAACCUCUGGUUGCCAUCUCAGCUCCUGCCCAAUGCACCACUGAGGCUGAAAGGCUGCUUGCUAAGCCUCGGGCUACCAUCGACCCAGCAGACCUCCCAGCAGUCUCUCCUCUGCCAAUCCUGAACCAGUCCUCCACUGCUGCUGUGCAGGACAAUCAGCCUGUGAUGAUUCACAAUCACACAGUAGAAGAGUACCAGGAGAUUUAUCAGGAAGUGGUCGAUGACAUGCUGAGGUACAAAAGUGGUCAAAGACGUCCUUACAGUCUCAACCUAGGCCGUGUUAUAAAGCAAAAGCUCUGGGAGAGGAUGAAGAAGCCUUCAAUUACAAUGUCAGCUAGCCAAAAUGCCCUGAUUAAUGUAGAGAUCACCUAUGGCAGCAGGGAAAAUCCUCCUUUUUACAUCUUGGAUUAAUUAAAAUAAAAGUUCCAAGACAGACACUCAGAAAAACACUGAAAAACAAAACAACAACUUUGUAAAUAGUUCUUUAAGAGUUCAGGCUAAUUCUUCAUACCUU